GCGGUCCGGCCGGGAACUCAAAGGAGACUGCCAGUGAUAAACUGGAGGAAGGUGGGGAUGACGUCAAGUCAUCAUGGCCCUUACGACCAGGGCUACACACGUGCUACAAUGGCGCAUACAAAGAGAAGCGACCUCGCGAGAGCAAGCGGACCUCAUAAAGUGCGUCGUAGUCCGGAUUGGAGUCUGCAACUCGACUCCAUGAAGUCGGAAUCGCUAGUAAUCGUGGAUCAGAAUGCCACGGUGAAUACGUUCCCGGGCCUUGUACACACCGCCCGUCACACCAUGGGAGUGGGUUGCAAAAGAAGUAGGUAGCUUAACCUUCGGGAGGGCGCUUACCACUUUGUGAUUCAUGACUGGGGUGAAGUCGUAACAAGGUAACCGUAGGGGAACCUGCGGUUGGAUCACCUCCUUA
rnacentral:rRNA from 1 species